UACGAAGGGGGCUAGCGUUGUUCGGAAUUACUGGGCGUAAAGGGCGCGUAGGCGGCCUGUUAAGUCGAACGUGAAAUCCCCGGGCUCAACCCGGGAACUGCGUCCGAAACUGGCAGGCUUGAAUCCGGGAGAGGGAUGUGGAAUUCCAGGUGUAGCGGUGAAAUGCGUAGAUAUCUGGAGGAACAUCGGUGGCGAAGGCGACAUCCUGGACCGGUAUUGACGCUGAGGCGCGAAAGCCAGGGGAGCAAACGGG
rnacentral:rRNA from 1 species